CAAUAAGCGGAGGAAAAGAAACUAACAAGGAUUCCCCUAGUAACUGCGAGUGAAGCGGGAAAAGCUCAAAUUUAAAAUCUGUCAGUCUUUGGCUGUCCGAGUUGUAAUCUAGAGAAGUGUUAUCCGCGCUGGACCGUGUACAAGUCUCCUGGAAUGGAGCGUCAUAGAGGGUGAGAAUCCCGUCUUUGACACGGACUGCCAGGGCUUUGUGAUGCGCUCUCAAAGAGUCGAGUUGUUUGGGAAUGCAGCUCAAAAUGGGUGGUAAAUUCCAUCUAAAGCUAAAUAUUGGCGAGAGACCGAUAGCGAACAAGUACCGUGAGGGAAAGAUGAAAAGAACUUUGGAAAGAGAGUUAAACAGUACGUGAAAUUGCUGAAAGGGAAACGCUUGAAGUCAGUCGCGUUGUCCAGGGAUCAACCUUGCUUUUGCUUGGUGUACUUUCUGGUUGACGGGUCAGCAUCAAUUUUGACUAUUGGAAAAAGAUCAGGGGAAUGUGGCAUCUUUGGAUGUGUUAUAGCCCUUGGUUGCAUACAAUGGUUGGGAUUGAGGAACUCAGCACGCCGCAAGGCCGGGUUUUAACCACGUACGUGCUUAGGAUGCUGGCAUAAUGGCUUUAAUCGACCCGUCUUGAAACACGGACCAAGGAGUCUAACAUGCCUGCGAGUGUUUGGGUGGAAAACCCGAGCGCGUAAUGAAAGUGAAAGUUGAGAUCCUUGUCAUGGGGAGCAUCGACGCCCGGACCAGACCUUUUGUGACGGUUCCGCGGUAGAGCAUGUAUGUUGGGACCCGAAAGAUGGUGAACUAUGCCUGAAUAGGGUGAAGCCAGAGGAAACUCUGGUGGAGGCUCGUAGCGAUUCUGACGUGCAAAUCGAUCGUCAAAUUUGGGUAUAGGGGCGAAAGACUAAUCGAACCAUCUAGUAGCUGGUCU
rnacentral:rRNA from 1 species